GUGAUUCUUGUUAACCGAGAUGAAAUAUUUAUUGAUAAAUCCACUUUAAAAUAUGAACAAAACAAUGAUCAUUCAAUCAAUAGUCAAAGAAUGGAUAAAUAAUGACUCUUUAUUAACAGCUUGAAUCGAAAUUUAACGUAAAAUGUAAGUCCAGAAUGAAUCGAACCGACCCUUCAAGUACCGUGAGGGAAAGGUGAAAAGAAUUCUGAGAAGAGAGUGAGAAGAACGUGAAACCGUUAGUGGGGAAGCGGACAAUGUAAUCGUAGUUGUUUGGUGUUUGUGUUUUUCAACUUGUUGUUAAAUUCUUAACGCCGAAUAACGCGCCAGGCUCUAUGCUAAUGCAGCUGGCAGUGUAUUGGGUGGUUCGACAAAGAGUGUUUCUUGAGAAAUGCUCUGUCGGCUGACAGUACAAACUGUUGUAGAGUUGGCGCGGCAUGGAUGUGUGUGCUUGUGCGUUGAAGGUGCGUUGGCGUGUAGUCGGUGCGAUCCCACAAAGUGGGACACAUUGGUGUAGCGUUGGCGUAGUUUUGACGUCUCGACGAAUGUCGCACACAAACUCUUGGCGAGAUAUGACAUUGUCCGACCCGUCUUGAAACACGGACCAAGGAGGCUAACAUAUGCGCGAGUCGAGGAGUGGAGAAACUCUAUGGCGUAACGAAAGUGAAAUGUGAGAUUGUGCGACGUCGAGUCGUGCACGCAUCACAGACCAGUCGGAAGUUUGACUACGAUUGAGUUGGAGCGUAUAUGCUAGAACCCGAUAGAUGGUGACCUAUUCCUGAGCAGAGCGAAUUCAUUGGAAACAAUGAUGGAGGCUCGUAGCGGUUCUGACGUGCAAAUCGAUCGUCAAACUUGGGUAUAGGGGCGAAAGACUUAUCGAACCAUCUAGUAGCUGGUUCCCUCCGAAAUAUCCCUCAGGAUCGCCGAAGCUCGCAGCAGUUUCAUCGGGUAGAGCGAAUGAUUAGAGGCAUCGGGGCUAUUUUUAGCUUCAACCUAUUCUCAAACUGCAAACCGGUGACAUGUGGUCAGCGAUUUCUUGAUUGAAUCGUUGAUGCCGUAAGGCUGAAUGCAUGAGUUUCGAGUGGGCCGUUUUUGGUAAGCAGAACUGGCGAUGCGGGAUGAACCGAGAGUCGGGUUAAAGUGCCUAAGUCGCGGCCAACGGAUACCAUAAAAGGAGUUGGUAAAUUAUGACAGUGAUGCUGUGGUCUUGUAAGUAGAUAUCAGCUAAGAAGUGUGCAACAACGUACGGGAAGAAAACUAAUUUAAUAAAGAAAAUUAUUAUUAUGUUUGUUUCCUAGCCACAGGGCCUCGCUCACGCGGUUCUUCAGGCAGAGAAUCUUGGUUUGGUACGCCUUCUUGAUUUUCAGGUUCUAUGGACUGUUCAAUGGUACUAUAUGAUCUGCACCUUUUGAUUUUCUGUUAGGGUACAAGUAGUUCAUAUAGAUCCCGAAGGAGUCAUCGAUCACCCCGUUGACGAUUUCGCAUGCUGUUUUCCUGUACUUCGUUGAAGGAAUCCUCAGUAGUCGUAGUACGUUCUUCAGUUCGUACGUAAGAGAACCGAGGGUUCCAACAACCAGAGGGAGAAUACGGAUGGGCUUGCCACGAU
rnacentral:ncRNA from 1 species